AUGCAUGUGUCAGUACAAGCUAAACUAAAGUGAAACCGCGAAAGGCUCAUUAAAUCAGCUAUGAUUCAUUGGAUCUGUACACCCAGUUUCCUUGGAUAACUGUGGUAAUUCUAGAGCUAAUACAUGCACAUAUAGUCCCUGACCCCGAGAGGGGAAAGGGCGCUUUUAUUAGUAUCUCAAAACCGGUCGUCGGGCUUCGGUCCGUAAACCCCUAUUGUGAUGACUCUGGAUAACUUUUAGCUGAGCGCACGGUCUUUCGCACUGGCGCCGCUUCUUUCAAGUGUCUGCCUUAUCAGCUUUCGAUUGUAGGUUAUGUGCCUACAAUGGCUAUAACGGGUAACGGGGAAUCAGGGUUCGAUUCCGGAGAGGGAGCCUGAGAAACGGCUACCACA
rnacentral:rRNA from 1 species